rnacentral:rRNA from 1 species
GACGAACCGAGCGAACGUUGCUCGGAAUCACUGGGCUUAAAGGGCGCGUAGGCGGGUGCUCAAGUCCGGGGUGAAAUCCUCCAGCUCAACUGGAGAACUGCCUCGGAUACUGGGUGCCUCGAGGGUGGUAGGGGUAUGCGGAACUAUCGGUGGAGCGGUGAAAUGCGUUGAUAUCGAUAGGAACUCCGGUGGCGAAGGCGGCAUACUGGACCACAUCUGACGCUGAGGCGCGAAAGCCAGGGGAGCAAACGGG